CGCUGAACCACCGGUUCCCGUACGAUCCCUGAAUUUAAGCAACGUUGAGCCUGGUUAGUACUUAGAUGGGUGACUAUUUGAGAAUACCAGAUGUUGUAAG